UAGAGAAUAUAACUACACAUGCGUAUAAGCGUAAGUUACAAAAUACGGUGAUCAUAAUAUUUUUUAGUGAAACUUCAAUUUUCUAUAACAAUGUGGUACGAAAUUUUGCCGAGUGCUGGAAUUAUUUUGGUGGCGAUGACCUUUCCGCACGCCUCUGCGUAUGUUAUUAAUAAAUUGGUACUUGGAAACAUGUAUCGAAGAGGUAUGGUUACUGGAGCUGAUAGAUACAAUUAUACUAGGGAUAGAAGACUAGCAGGUGGAAAUCCUUAUAAAGUUGUGGGGUUAGAAGCCAUCCCAAAUAAAUGAAGAUAGUAGAUGAAAAGAAAACUGAAGAAAAAUCAAUUCAUAGGAAGUAUUAAUGAUGUAAAAUAAUAAUAAAUGUAAAUUUAUUAAUUGUU